AACUCUCGACAAUGGAUAUCUCGGCUCUCGCAUCGAUGAAAAACGUAGCAAAAUGCGAUGCUUGGUGUGAAUUGCAUAAUCCCGUGAACCAUCAAGUCUUUGACCGCAAGUUGCACCCCAAGACAUUAGGUCGAGGGCAUGUCUGCCUGAGCGUCA